UCUCUUUUCAAUAUUUCCUUUUGACUUGUCGGAUCCAAAAGCCCGAGAGUAUUGUGACCAAAUCAAAGUAAUGGGACCUCUCAACUCCCAUUUCAAACCCUUCUUUAAUCAAUUUGGUUCUCUUGGUCGUUGAACAUAUUUAAGAACACAACCCACCAGAAUCCCCUUCCAUUAUUACAUCUGUUAAACCCAACUCGAUCCCUGUAAGCACGACUUCGAAACAGGCGAGGGCUUCUAUAUCAAAUGUCGUGCCAACUACCGUGUGCAAACGGGACUUAGAGACCAGAACUUCUCCUUUCGCAUUUCGUACCACAAUCCCUGAAGCCGACUUAAAACCUUGGCAGUUGAAUGAGGCAUCAAAAUUGAUUUUAAUAAUCUGCUCUUCAGGUGAUUUCCAGUUCUCUUUCUCACCAACAAAGGUAGUCUUUUUAUCUGUGAAACAACCAAGUUCACGAAUGUAGUUUUUGGUGAAAUUAGCUACUCUUAUUCCUGAAUGGGUUUUCCCUUCAUGCAAGUUCCUAUUUUUGUCUAACCAAAUUGACCACAAGCUACAACCAAACAAGCGCCAUUGGGACUCCCUGCAACUUCCAAAUACCCAGGACAUUCACCAAAAACAUGCCAUGAAGUCUCAAUUCCCACCUUAUAUCAGGGGCAGUUGUUGCUUUGAGUCAAUCUUUUGGCAUACAAGUUGACCAUCGUGGGUAUGAAACACUCUCCAUAUCAUUAUCUUAAUUUUAUUAGGCAGUUGUAAAUCCCACAAUUGUUUGUAGAAUUGUUUUGUUGUAAUCUGUAAAUCAUUAAAAUUAGGGGUAAUGCUCUGAAUCUAUAAUAGUUUAUAAGCUUUUCUUACCGAGAACA